GCCUCGCUAGCUCAAUUGGCUAGAGCGUGAGACUUUUACGACGCUUCGGCGGCCAGGAAAUCUCAAGGUUGCGGGUUCGACCCCCGCGUGAGGCU